rnacentral:rRNA from 1 species
GACGAACGCUGGCGGCGUGCUUAACACAUGCAAGUGGAGCGACGAACCAGGGCUUGCCCUGGGGCAAAGCCGCGAACGGGUGAGUAACACGUGGGUAACCUGCCCCGAAGACCGGGACAACCCGAGGAAACUCGGGCUAAUACCGGAUGUGGUCACUCUUCAUAAGGAGAGUGAGCAAAGGAAGCUUCGGCCUCCGCUUCGGGAUGGGCCGGCGGCCCAUUAGCUUGUUGGUGAGGUAACGGCUCACCAAGGCUUCGAUGGGUAGCUGGUCUGAGAGGACGAUCAGCACACUGGGUCUGAGACACGGCCCAGACUCCUACGGGAGGCAGCAGUGGGGAAUCUUGCGCAAUGGGCGACAGCCUGACGCAGCAACGCCGCGUGAGGGAAGAAGGCUUUCGGGUCGUAAACCUCUUUCAGGAGGGACGAAGCUUCGGGAGUGAAUAGCUUUCCGGAGUGACGGUACUUCCACAAGAAGCCCCGGCUAACUACGUGCCAGCCGCCGCAGUAA